UUACCCGCAAAGGUCUCCUCCUCUCCAGAACAAACGGACCCGGUGAUUACAGAGGAGAGCAUAAUGAAAAACACGCCUCUCCAAGUGACCUUGACGAUGAAAGAUUGCAGCAUAUCACAAACUUCUUUGGUGGGACAUGCACUAUAAUCAGCAGAUCACACACACACACCUGUACUAGAUUACCGUUUGUUUGAGUUUGACAGACAGCCUUUGCGGCCAAUCCCUGCCAGACUGUUGUGGUUACAGGCCAAUGGCAGAGGACCUCUGCUUGAGCAGAGCAAGUCAAGCAGCAUGGACAAAGCCCUGCAAUGGAAGCAAAGGGAAAAAGGGGAGAGCAGCAACAGAGAGUCUACGAUCCACAAUGACUAUAUUCUGCACCUGCACCUCCCCAGCUUCUGCUUGAUGAGAGAAUCAAGCAAAUGAGUUGCUUUGGCUGUAUGGAGCGAGAGAACCAACUUGUCCCAAAGGACCAACCCUGUCUACGAGAAAUUAUGUUCAUAUAUGACUAAUAUGCAUCAGCAAAUACGUUUUGCUAGAAACGUAAUGCUGGAUAAAUUAUGUUUUCUGUCAACGUAAAGAGAAAAUGUUGUUCAUUAACAUAUUUGGCAAGUUGCAGAAAUCUUUCAGUAACCUUGAUCAAAGUACUCUUGUUGUCUAAAUCUAACAAUGUCCGGGACUCAGGAUGUGAUGUCUCUGGUAGAGUCCCUGGUAGAGUCUUGUACGUCCACCCUUACCUCCUCUCUCUGAGCUCAGUGUAUUUCAAAUCCAGGCAGUGAUUAUGUUUUUCUAGGUAAUUUCUAAAUAAGUUUGACAGGAUGCAGCCAGCAUUGUUUAUUACUGUUGUAAUAUAUUACUGUUUAGUAGAUGUUUUUUGAUGUAACAUAGCUUCAAUGUAUUAAGCUGCUUUUCUUCAGUAGCUUGUAGUUUAGUUUGCUACUUCCAAUAAAAAUUUAGUGUUCCUGUG